GACGAACGCUGGCGGCGUGCUUAACACAUGCAAGUCGAGCGGUAAGGCCCUUUCGGGGGUACACGAGCGGCGAACGGGUGAGUAACACGUGGGUGACCUGCCUUUAGCUCUGGGAUAAGCCUGGGAAACUGGGUCUAAUACCGGAUAUGACUCCGCGGUGCAUGCUGUGGGGUGGAAAGCCUUGUGCGGCUGGAGAUGGGCCCGCGGCCUAUCAGCUUGUUGGUGGGGUGAUGGCCUACCAAGGCGACGACGGGUAGCCGGCCUGAGAGGGCGACCGGCCACACUGGGACUGAGACACGGCCCAGACUCCUACGGGAGGCAGCAGUGGGGAAUCUUGCGCAAUGGGCGAAAGCCUGACGCAGCGACGCCGCGUGAGGGAUGACGGCCUGGUGUAAC
rnacentral:rRNA from 1 species